rnacentral:rRNA from 1 species
UACGUAGGGUGCGAGCGUUAAUCGGAAUUACUGGGCGUAAAGCGUGCGCAGGCGGUUUUUCAAGUCUGAUGUGAAAGCCCCGGGCUUAACCUGGGAACUGCGUUGGAAACUGAAAGACUAGAGUGCGGCAGAGGGGGGUAGAAUUCCACGUGUAGCAGUGAAAUGCGUAGAUAUGUGGAGGAACACCAGUGGCGAAGGCGGCUUCCUGGACUAAAACUGACACUGAGGCACGAAAGCGUGGGUAGCAAACAGG